UACGGAGGAUCCGAGCGUUAUCCGGAUUUAUUGGGUUUAAAGGGUGCGUAGGCGGCUUUGUAAGUCAGUGGUGAAAUCCUGUCGCUUAACGACAGAACUGCCAUUGAUACUGCAGAGCUUGAAUAUGUUUGAAGUGGGCGGAAUGUGUAGUGUAGCGGUGAAAUGCUUAGAUAUUACACAGAACACCAAUUGCGAAGGCAGCUCACUAAACCAUGAUUGACGCUGAGGCACGAAAGUGUGGGGAUCAAACAGG
rnacentral:rRNA from 1 species